AGGGAAUCUUCCGCAAUGGACGAAAGUCUGACGGAGCAACGCCGCGUGAGUGAUGAAGGUUUUCGGAUCGUAAAGCUCUGUUGCCAGGGAAGAACGUCCUGUAGAGUAACUGCUACAGGAGUGACGGUACCUGAGAAGAAAGCCCCGGCUAACUACGUGCCAGCAGCCGCGGUAAUACGUAGGGGGCAAGCGUUGUCCGGAAUUAUUGGGCGUAAAGCGCGCGCAGGCGGCUGUUUAAGUCUGGUGUUUAAUCCUGGGGCUCAACCCCGGGUCGCACUGGAAACUGGACGGCUUGAGUGCAGAAGAGGAGAGUGGAAUUCCACGUGUAGCGGUGAAAUGCGUAGAGAUGUGGAGGAACACCAGUGGCGAAGGCGGCCUGCUGGGCUUUAACUGACGCUGAAGCACGAAAGCAUGGGUAGCAAAC
rnacentral:rRNA from 1 species